UACGUAGGGUGCAAGCGUUGUCCGGAAUUAUUGGGCGUAAAGAGCUCGUAGGCGGUCUGUCGCGUCGAAUGUGAAAAUCCGGGGCUCAACUCCGGACCUGCAUUCGAUACGGGCAGACUAGAGUUCGGUAGGGGAGACUGGAAUUCCUGGUGUAGCGGUGAAAUGCGCAGAUAUCAGGAGGAACACCGAUGGCGAAGGCAGGUCUCUGGGCCACUACUGACGCUGAGGAGCGAAAGCGUGGGGAGCGAACAGG
rnacentral:rRNA from 1 species